rnacentral:lncRNA from 1 species
AUCUUCAUUCACAGCUUCUCCUUCACGCUUUCUCAUUUGACAACCCUAAUUCUAGAACCUGCCGCUGCAAUUCUUCUUGCCUUUAACCUCACGCUGUAACGGUGGAACAUUAAGAACCUGCAAAAGCUUCAUAUCUUUGGAUCCCAAAACCAUCGAUUUGUCUCAACCAAGUUUUUUUCAUGUUUGCUAGAUGUUUUUCAAAUCACAGGUUUUUUAUUGCUGGUGUUGUUUGUUGAUUUCAAUGCAUAAGAAGAAUGAAGAUGUGUUGUGGUGAUUGGCUGUUGAGCUGGAAGAGGACAUCUGGCGCUUGGCUAUUUCUCCGGCAACUUCAACUAAAGACGAAUAGUUUAGCGCUGACGACUCUGACAUCACAUAUAUUGCGGAAAUACUUCGAGCAUCAAAAUAUUUACUUUCUCGAAAACCAACAAAAUGUUCAAAAGUCAUUAGAAAAAGAUACAUGAAGAUGUUCAAAGCUCCGAAGGAAGCUUGUGAUUGACGCCAUUUAUGAAAUCAUCGACAGAAACAGAGAACGACCGCUGUGGAAGUUAACGGAAUCAAGCGAUUCCGUGAAGGAGAACUGUUGUGAAUUUCAAAAGAUUCGCAAAACGGAAACUACUAUAAAUUUCUUCGGAGUCUGAUGUAAAUGACAUCGUUGUGAACGGAUGAUACGUGACAACUAAAGAUGAUGUUUUUGUGCAGCUGAUUCUUGACAGUCUCACAGGGCCUCCAAUCUUAUGUGAGAAACAGGUUGUUCCUAUUUAGUGAUCAAAUACCUUUGUUCAACAAAAUUAAUCACAAGGUGGACGUUCUCAGUUGAAGAUUUUUGAAUAGCUACAUUUUUUUGGAGGUUGAAAGGGUGUCAAUAAUUAACUAUAAUUUGUAUCACCACAAAGUCGGCCCCUCACUACCCUUUUCAAGGCAUUUUGAAAUAAAUUUCGACAUUUGGGUUUGCUUGCCUUUUGUUUCUCAUGGAAUUAGUGAAGGAUUUUAAUUGCUAAGUGAGUGUCGAGUGUUAUUUUUCGGCGAGUGAGGUUUUGGCGAAGCAUGAU